rnacentral:rRNA from 1 species
UACGGGGGGAGCAAACGUUGUUCGGAAUCACUGGGCGUAAAGGGCGUGUAGGCGGCUGAAUAAGUGGGAUGUUAAAUCCCCCGGCUCAACCGGGGACCUGCAUCUCAUACUGUUCAGCUCGAGCACAUCAGAGGAGACUGGAAUUCCACGUGUAGCAGUGAAAUGCGUAGAGAUGUGGAGGAACACCGAUGGCGAAGGCAGCCUCCUGGGCCAGCACUGACGCUCAUGCACGAAAGCGUGGGGAGCAAACAGG